GUCGAUCUCGUGGAUCAGCGCAGCAAAAAGGCCGUCGAUGGCAAGGAUCCAUUUUUCGAGCUUGUCACGCUCCGGAAUGGUGGGGUUUUCACGAAAGACCAGCUUGAGUCGGAGCUGGAGAACCUCGUCAACUGUGGCAUGUUCCAGACCGUGGAGAUGGAAGGCGUCACUCAGGCUGAUGGGACUAUAAAGAUCAACAUCAACUUUGUCGAGAGCCAGUGGCAAGCGGCGAAAAGUAUGCAGUGUAUCAACGUUGGGCGGUUGGCUCAGACCAAGCAACCCGAUUUUAACAGCAUGACCGAGAAGCAGCAGCAGGAAUAUCUUGGGAAGCAAGAAGAAGAGUACAAGAAGCGGGUGAGGAAAGCCAGGAAGUGCAUGCUACCGAGAAGGAUCGAGCAGGAGAUUUCGGGCUGACUCUCCGCCGAGUCUUGUGUUACUGCGAGAAUGCUGCAGAGAAUCCGGGAGAGAAUACAGAAGUGGUAUCACGAUGAAGGCUAUGCGUGCGCUCAAGUUGUCAACUUUGGAAACCUCAAUACGAACGAAAUAGUCUGUGAAGUAGUGGAAGGGGACAUCACAGACGUGCAAAUAAUGUUCCAGGACAAGAUGGGGCUUCCAGUUGAAGGGAACACUCAAGUCCCUAUCAUAGAGAGGGAGCUUCCUUCACAGGUAUUGCUUGUUUAUUUUCUCCGGUGGUUCUCAUUUGUUGUUUUGCUGGAUGCAGCUUAGCUCCGGGAAGAUCUUCAACAUUGAAGCGGGCAAGAAAGCUUUGCGCAACAUCAACAAUCUUUCUCUCUUUUCUAACAUUGAAGUCAAUCCAAGGCCGGAUGAAGAGAUCGAGGGAGGCAUUACAGUGGAAGUGAAGUUGAAGGAGCUCGAACAGAACACUACUGAGAUCAGCACCGAGUGGAGCAUAGUGCCAGGGAAUUCUAGACGUCCAACCCUGGUGAGUCACUUUAUAUCCAAACCGUCUUCACUGCUUAUGCGGUUUCGUUGAUACAGGCCUCGAUCCAGCCAGGUGGUAACGUAACCUUUGAGCAUCGGAAUAUCAAAGGCUUGAACCACACAUUGUUUUGUACCGUCACGUCCAAUAAUCUCUUCAAUCCCCAGGUCCGGUACUUCCCUCUCAGAUCUUUUUGAUAUUUACGCACCGCAAUGUGGAUUUGUAGGAUGACUUAGGAUUCAAGAUGGAAUAUCUCGACGGUUUGACCGAUCCCAGGGAGCGUACGCUCAAGGCUAGCUGUUUUAACAGUCACAAAGUCAGUGCGGUGUCCCGGUUUGGAAGACGUGCCUGGUAUAUGGGUCGAUCGAGCUUAACCGAGGUAAUUGUGAACACUGUUUACCUCGUCCAAAAGUUCACCAGGCAGAGCAAGCUGACGUAUGGAUUUGUCAUGGAGGAAGUCACAACGCGCGACGCCAUUUGCACUAACGGAGCUCGUGUGCUUCCAAGCGGGGCCUUGAGCAUGGACGGUCCCCCGACUACUCACAGCGACACCGGGACUGACCGGGUGGGAUUUUUCCAGGCCAAUCUCACACACGACAACACAAAGUUCGUCCAAUGGCUCGAGGAACAUCUUCCAGGUAAGAAGUGUGGGAAAUUAGCGCUCUUUCUCACUGCUUCCUGGUAUGAUAUUAAAACAGCUGGGACAGGUUUCCAUUUUUCAAUCGACACCAACUUACAUUGACUCGGUUUAUAAAACUGGGGACCGAAGAUAGACACGGCGAGCAGCCACCUCCGGUUCUGAGACCCUGCUGCUGCGCUAAAGCUACUGCUAAUCUCCUAGACUCCCAUCCUCUGGGGCAAUGCUGCUCCAGAUUUGGGCGCAUUCUUCUCGGUGGCAACUGAUCCCCUGGCCGUGAAAUUGUAGCCCCCUCCGCCGCCGCCUGCUGCUGCUAGCGCCAGCUCCAUCUCGCUUGCCCGCCGCUGUGGCCUGGAGCUUCUGAUACCAGCUCGACCGCUGCUCCCUUCCUCCUCCCGUUUUCUUUUUUCUUUUAUUUUUUGAAAAUUUGUGUUAGAACCAAACCUUUUUUGUUCUUCUCUGCUUCACACGCAGUUAGAACCAAACGCCUUUGUUAGACUGUUUAGAAUGGGAUGAAAUGUAGAUGCAUGCCAAUGUUUGUUGUUGCAUCGCAUCACAACGUAUUUCUUACGCUGUCUACCUACACCGAGUCAAGGUAGAAGAGUCCCACGCGGCACGACUGACUUCGGUGUGAUUUAUUUCAAGGCCCUAUCCAGAGUUUCUCAUACAUUAUCUCUACUUUGGCCAACACAUGGACACAGUAGUGGUGCUGCUAUUUCUUUUCCCUAUGAUUCUCAUGGGCAUGAGGUAUGAGCUUCCACCUGACUGGUAUUUUCGACAAUUGCCAGGCAACGAUCAUAGAAAUUAUUCAGUUUUUAUGAACACCACUGAAGGCUUUGAAAUCGUGAAGGCCGGGGGCAAAGAUAUUGUCAGUGACAAUGGGAAUUUCUCACUUGCAUCACACGAUCAAGGAAAAUACCUGCUAUUGCAUAUGAAUCGCUCAAUCUAUCCUUUAUCCAUUCAAUUUCCGUUAGAAGAUGCAGCUUCUCUAGUGUUACAAAACUCUGGAAAUGUCCUCAUUAAUUUUUACAACGGCAGUGUGCGGCAAAGUUUCGAUUUUCCCUCAGAAUUUUUCCUCCCAACCCAAAUUUUGAAAACAGGAAUGCGCAUAAUGAGCAACAACUAUGAGACUCUUGUUAUUGUCCAAGAUGAGGGACUGUUUUGGAUUUCUCCCUCUGAGUUUUAUGAAGGACAAUUCCAACACCACCAACCAUAUCAAGCGUGGCGAUUUAAUUCUACAUGUGAAGGCUCAACCUCAACUUUUCUUCAGUACACUGGGAGCAAUUUGACCCUCUCCAAUGAUUGUGAGCAGCUAUCAUUAACGACUUCAACUGAAUCAAGUACUCCUCUUUUGCCAUUCUUGCAUUUUGAUUCGGAUGGGAGCAUCACAUCUUAUAAGUAUGAAGGAAAUCAAUGGAUAAAGGAUAUUCAGCUAACGGAAUCCUCAAACCAGAUAAAAUCAUGGCCAGGAAAUCCUGCAUGUAAGGCUUGUUCUCAAUAUGAGAUCUGCAAUGCCGACAAUGGAAGCUGCAGCUGCUUGAAGCCCGAUGAACAUCAAAGGUGUGAGUUAUACACUUCGAAUUUUGAUGUAAGUUCUUGCUCCAAAUUUGACUUCCUCAGACAACAAUAUCGUAACUACAUUGUGAUGAAACACAAGUUUUCUGGUAUUGGAUAUUAUAGAACUGAAUUCAUGCAGCCGAACCGAAGGAAUUCCUCUCUAGACGAGUGCACAAACGCCUGCUUUGCUAUGAAUUGUAGCAGCUGUAUGUCACUUAUUUUCAAUGGCAAUACCAAGGACUGCUUCUUCAUUUCUUAUGAUAUAUAUGGGAGCUUCUACAAAGAUGACACUACCAAAAACAUAACUCUUAUCAUCAAAACUCUGAAGGCUCAUCAUCAACCGAAACUUUACAUUAUAACUCUUACCAUGACUUCCACAGUGAUAUUUCUAUGCUUCCUAGCGGUAUGUGCUCUUGCGUUUAAUGAGCGCAAGCUCAAGUUCAAUCCGGCAAAGGAGAUUGAAGCAUUGUUGGCUAGUCUGCAAGGCCGUUUGCCCCAGAGAUUCUCAUAUACGGCAUUGGAUACUGCGACAAAAGGAUAUAGCACAAAGUUGGGAGCUGGGGGAUAUGGAUCGGUUUACAAAGGGGUUUUGAGCGAUGGCAGAGUUGUGGCAGUCAAGAAGCUGGACUACAGUGGAACUCAAGGGGCAAAACAGUUUGUGACCGAGAUUGUUGGAAUUGGAGGCAUAAGUCAUGUAAACAUUGUUAAACUUUGUGGCUUUUGCAUCGAGGGAGCAACACAGUGGCUGCUGGUUUACGAAUUUAUGCCCAAUGGAUCACUCGACAAAUGGCUUUUCGAGCAAACUUCAGAGAAUUUAUGGCUCAGUUGGCAGCAGAGGAUCGACAUUGCCCUUGGCACGGCUCAAGGACUUGCGUAUCUUCACGAGGAAUGCAGGGAGCCCAUACUGCACUUGGACAUCAAGCCCCAAAACAUUCUGUUGGACACAGAGUUUGUCGCAAAGGUGGCGGACUUUGGGAUGGCAAAGCUGCUUGAGAACCGCAACGAGACGCAGGUCAUGACGACCAUGCGGGGCACUCCAGGCUACAUGGCUCCCGAAUGGCUCACACAUUUCAUGUCUACAAAGAGAUGCGACGUUUACAGCUAUGGAAAGGUGCUUUUGGAACUAAUUGGGGGUCGCAGGAACAUUGAUCUCUCAAAGGCUGUGAACUCUGGGGACAACACUCAGCCGGACGAGAGCUGGUAUUUUCCAACUUGGGUGGUGAACCAGGUGGAGAAGGGGAACUUUCUCGAUGUGAUUGAUGAGAGGGUGAGAGCAAGUGCCAGUGAAAACUAUCAGCAGGCCAAGAAAAUGGUUCAUCUUGCACUGUGGUGCAUUCAAGACAAUGCUGAUGCUCGACCAUCCAUGAGGACAGUAGUGGAAGUGUUGCAAGGGCAUUUGGAUUUGGGUUCUGCUCCUUUGGUAGCAAAAGUGGCAUUUCGCUAAACAUGACUAUAUGUGAUUGAUGUUUCAAAAUUAUAUAAACAUAUUAUGUAGUACAAAAGUUGUGUACAAAAGCUUCUGUGCGCGGCGAUUGGGGGCAGUGGUGCCAGGGCCGACGAUAGAAACAGUGGAGAUAAAGUCGGCCUCACGGCACCGGUAAGCCGGCUCAGCCCCAACAAGAAGUACAAGCUUUCCGGCGUCGAUCUCGUGGAUCAGCGCAGCAAAAAGGCCGUCGAUGGCAAGGAUCCAUUUUUCGAGCUUGUCACGCUCCGGACUGGUGGGGUUUUCACGAAAGACCAGCUUGAGUCGGAGCUGGAGAACCUCGUCAACUGUGGCAUGUUCCAGACCGUGGAGAUGGAAGGCGUCACUCAGGCUGAUGGGACUAUAAAGAUCAACAUCAACUUUGUCGAGAGCCAGUGGCAAGCGGCGAAAAGUGUGCGGUGU
rnacentral:lncRNA from 1 species